rnacentral:lncRNA from 1 species
AGGAGCAUCCAGAGGAACAUCCUCGAUCUCCCUCCGAACAGUUAGAGCCUGAGAACCUUGAUCUUUCACAAUAUUCUUAUCUCCAGACUCCCUUCUAAAUGAAGACAUUCUUAAAAAUCUUUGAAAUAAAUCCUAUGAAACUAGAAAUAAAAGGAAGGAAAGAAAGGAUCAACCUCACGAAUACAUCGAUGAUGAUGGAGAAGCCGACAA